AGUUCAGAGUGCUCACCUGGAGACAUGAUUGCUUCUUUAAAGGUCUUGAAAUCACACCAGCAAGGAUUAGAGCAUUUUUGCCUAAAGUUAAAUGGGAUUCAUUGCCUUCUAUGCAUAUUACUGGUCGUACUGGUGCAGGAUGUGAAUCAAAGUAUGUAUUUCUUAAUUGAUGAACUUCUGUUUUCUAUGCAAGUAAAGAUGGUUAUUGAUGAAAAAUCUUUGUGCUUUUAUGGUUUUGUUAUUGCUCUAUUCUCAUGCUUCAUAUCAUAUCUCGUCUUAUUAAUAUUAGAAUUACAUCGACUAUGUUAUUUAGUUACUGUGAUUUGA